rnacentral:rRNA from 1 species
UGGGGAAUCUUGCACAAUGGGCGAAAGCCUGAUGCAGCGACGCCGCGUGCGGGAUGAAGGCCCUCGGGUCGUAAACCGCUUUCAGCAGGGACGAAAUUGACGGUACCUGCAGAAGAAGCCCCGGCCAACUACGUGCCAGCAGCCGCGGUAAUACGUAGGGGGCAAGCGUUGUCCGGAUUUAUUGGGCGUAAAGAGCUCGUAGGCGGUUCAGUAAGUCAUGUGUGAAAUCUCCGCGCUCAACGCGGAGGCGCCACGUGAUACUGCUGUGACUCGAGUCCGGUAGGGGAGUGUGGAAUUCCCGGUGUAGCGGUGAAAUGCGCAGAGAUCGGGAGGAACACCCGUAGCGAAGGCGACACUCUGGGCCGGUACUGACGCUGAGGAGCGAAAGCGUGGGGAGCAAACAG